rnacentral:misc_RNA from 1 species
CAGGGCUUCACUUUCACUGCAUUUGAAAAGCAACUUUGAUUAUUUGUUCAUUGGCCUAGAACCUUAUUUCUGAAUUUAGGUGCAUUUCAAACAGAAGGGUCCCAAUUAGGAAGUUCUGUUGAAUGCAUUCUUGUAUUUGCAUGUAUUAGAAAGAUGAGUUCAUAUCAUUGCAUAUUUUAAGUUGUAUAGGGGAAUUUGAUGGACAGAUAACCUCUUUUUCUCUGUUCUCCUAAACAUGUGGGUGCUGACUAGGAUCCCUUUGCUAAUUAUCUGUAGGGAAAAAUACUGAAACUCUCUUUUCUACUUAUCUUUAUAAGCUCUGUAAGGUUGAAGCUGCCUAUUGAUUUGCUUUUUUCUUAUUCCGACACAUUUCUUGCAAAUAUUUAAUAGCUAGCACAAAACAUAUCAAGGCAAACACAACUUCCUGGGUCAUGUUAAAACAAAUUUGUAUCAGAUGCUAUAUAAUGUUUGACAAAUGGCAAUACUAAUAGUUGUUG